rnacentral:rRNA from 1 species
UACAGAGGUCUCAAGCGUUGUUCGGAUUCAUUGGGCGUAAAGGGUGUGUAGGUGGCGCGCUAAGUCGGGUGUGAAAUUUCGGAGCUUAACUCCGAAACUGCAUUCGAUACUGGCGUGCUUGAGGACUGGAGAGGAGACUGGAAUUUACGGUGUAGCGGUGAAAUGCGUAGAUAUCGUAAGGAAGACCAGUGGCGAAGGCGGGUCUCUGGACAGUUCCUGACGCUGAGGAACGAAGGCCAGGGGAGCAAACGGG